rnacentral:rRNA from 1 species
GACGAACGCUGGCGGCGUGCUUAACACAUGCAAGUCGAACGGUAAGGCUCCAGCUUGCUGGGGUACACGAGCGGCGAACGGGUGAGUAACACGUGGGUGACCUGCCCUGCACUUCGGGAUAAGCCUGGGAAACUGGGUCUAAUACCGGAUAGGACUGCACCGUGAGGGUGUGGUGGAAAGUUUUUUCGGUGUGGGAUGGGCCCGCGGCCUAUCAGCUUGUUGGUGGGGUAAUGGCCUACCAAGGCGGCGACGGGUAGCCGGCCUGAGAGGGUGGACGGCCACAUUGGGACUGAGACACGGCCCAGACUCCUACGGGAGGCAGCAGUGGGGAAUAUUGCACAAUGGGCGGAAGCCUGAUGCAGCGACGCCGCGUGGGGGAUGACGGCCUUCGGGUUGUAAACUCCUUUCACCAUCGACGAAGGGUUUCUGACGGUAGAUGGAGAAGAAGCACCGGCUAACUACGUGCCAGCAGCCGCGGUAAUACGUAGGGUGCGAGCGUUGUCCGGAAUUACUGGGCGUAAAGAGCUCGUAGGUGGUUUGUCGCGUCGUCUGUGAAAUUCCGGGGCUUAACUCCGGGCGUGCAGGCGAUACGGGCAUAACUUGAGUACUGUAGGGGAGACUGGAAUUCCUGGUGUAGCGGUGAAAUGCGCAGAUAUCAGGAGGAACACCGGUGGCGAAGGCGGGUCUCUGGGCAGUAACUGACGCUGAGGAGCGAAAGCAUGGGGAGCGAACAGGAUUAGAUACCCUGGUAGUCCAUGCCGUAAACGGUGGGCGCUAGGUGUGGGUUUCCUUCCACGGGAUCCGUGCCGUAGCUAACGCAUUAAGCGCCCCGCCUGGGGAGUACGGCCGCAAGGCUAAAACUCAAAGGAAUUGACGGGGGCCCGCACAAGCGGCGGAGCAUGUGGAUUAAUUCGAUGCAACGCGAAGAACCUUACCUGGGCUUGACAUAUACAAGACAGGCGUAGAGAUACGUCCUCCCUUGUGGUUUGUAUACAGGUGGUGCAUGGUUGUCGUCAGCUCGUGUCGUGAGAUGUUGGGUUAAGUCCCGCAACGAGCGCAACCCUUGUCUUAUGUUGCCAGCAUUUGGUUGGGGACUCAUGAGAGACUGCCGGGGUCAACUCGGAGGAAGGUGGGGAUGACGUCAAAUCAUCAUGCCCCUUAUGUCCAGGGCUUCACACAUGCUACAAUGGUCGGUACAGCGCGCAGCGACACUGUGAGGUGGAGCGAAUCGCUGAAAGCCGGCCUUAGUUCGGAUUGGGGUCUGCAACUCGACCCCAUGAAGUCGGAGUCGCUAGUAAUCGCAGAUCAGCAACGCUGCGGUGAAUACGUUCCCGGGCCU